rnacentral:rRNA from 1 species
AGUGAGGAAUAUUGGUCAAUGGACGCAAGUCUGAACCAGCCAUGUCGCGUGCAGGAUGACGGCCCUAUGGGUUGUAAACUGCUUUUUUACAGGAAUAAACUUUGCUACGUGUAGCGAACUGAAGGUACUGUAGGAAUAAGGAUCGGCUAACUCCGUGCCAGCAGCCGCGGUAAUACGGAGGAUUCGAGCGUUAUCCGGAUUUAUUGGGUUUAAAGGGUCCGUAGGCGGGCCAAUAAGUCAGUGGUGAAAUCCCAGAGCUCAACUCUGGAACUGCCAUUGAUACUGUUGGUCUUGAAUUUAGUUGAGGUGGGCGGAAUACGUUAUGUAGCGGUGAAAUGCAUAGAUAUAACGUAGAACACCGAUUGCGAAGGCAGCUCACUAAACUAACAUUGACGCUGAUGGACGAAAGCGUGGGGAGCGAACAGGAUUAGAUACCCUGGUAGUCCACGCCGUAAACGAUGAUUACUCGUUGUGCACAAUACAUCGUGCGUGACUGAGCGAAAGCAUUAAGUAAUCCACCUGGGGAGUACGUUCGCAAG